rnacentral:rRNA from 1 species
AGUGAACGCUGGCGGUAGGCCUAACACAUGCAAGUCGAACGGCAGCACAGUAAGAGCUUGCUCUUACGGGUGGCGAGUGGCGGACGGGUGAGGAAUACAUCGGAAUCUACUUUUUCGUGGGGGAUAACGUAGGGAAACUUACGCUAAUACAGCAUACGACCUACGGGUGAAAGCAGGGGAUCUUCGGACCUUGCGCGAUUGAAUGAGCCGAUGUCGGAUUAGCUAGUUGGCGGGGUAAAGGCCCACCAAGGCGACGAUCCGUAGCUGGUCUGAGAGGAUGAUCAGCCACACUGGAACUGAGCCACGGUCCAGACUCCUACGGGAGGCAGCAGUGGGGAAUAUUGGACAAUGGGCGCAAGCCUGAUCCAGCCAUCCCGCGUGGGUGAAGAAGGCCUUCGGGUUGUAAAGCCCUUUUGUUGGGAAAGAAAAGCAGCAGGUUAAUACCCCGCUGUUCUGACGGUACCCAAAGAAUAAGCACCGGCUAACUUCGUG